GCGGGACAGGCGGGUUCGCGGCCUGGCGAAAAGACUGCCGGCUCUCCCGCGGCCGGCUGCGCGGGGUGCCGGGAGCAGCAGCCCCCGCCGCGACCGCUGCGAGCUGCUGGCGCCGCGCCGGAGGGAGGGCGGCAGGGUGCGACCGCCGGUGGGCGGAGGCCCGGGCGGCCUAGAGGUGGCUUCUCGGGGCCCGCGGAGGACCGGGGACAGGGAAGGUGAACUGAGGCGGUCGCCCGCUCGAGCCUGCACCUGCCCUGAUCGCCCCUAAACUGUCCGGCCUAGUGGGCUUGGGACUGGGACCAACCUUGAGAUACGGGGAUUAUUAUACCCAUUGUCGUAACGAAGACAUAGUCGCUGGAAGGAUUAACAAAUGACAAAGUCCGUAAGCUUGCCACAGUGCUCCUCUGGAAUUACAAGCUUACUAUGACAAUUCUGUGUUUCAGCACUCUUAAAAGGAAGUCAUUUAUCAAAUUUUGCUGCAGGAAAUGGAUAACGUGUUGGCUCUCUGUAUUAUUCUGGAAUUUCGGAUGGCUUCUCCAGUUUGCUGCUUCCCUGGACACCAAACAUAACAUUCCCUGUUCUAGGACCUGCUUCAAGUUGGUCAUAAGACUGGCAGAAAGUCAAACUAAACUAAAUGAAUAGUUGUUGAAGUUAAUCUCACGUCCUGGAGCUGUGUGUGCUAUGGAAUAGCCUGCUGUUAUUACCAGGCAUAACGCUGAUCAGAAUCACUGCUCUGUGGUCUUGUUCAUCAGAAUUUCAUGUUUGGAAAUUAGAUUUGGGUCUGGUUACUGUAAAAAUAGAUAUUAUGAUAAUGGAAUAUAGCCAUUAAAAUUUCUAUUGCAGAAGAAAUUAGCCAUGUAUUUAAAUGUAGGAGUAUGUUACUAAACAAUAUGUUCAAGAUGA